GGGGAAUAUUGGGCAAUGGGGGAAACCCUGACCCAGCAACGCCGCGUGAAGGAAGAAGGCCUUCGGGUUGUAAACUUCUUUUACCAGGGACGAAGGACGUGACGGUACCUGGAGAAAAAGCAACGGCUAACUACGUGCCAGCAGCCGCGGUAAUACGUAGGUUGCAAGCGUUGUCCGGAUUUACUGGGUGUAAAGGGCGUGUAGGCGGAGAUGCAAGUUGGGAGUGAAAUCCAUGGGCUCAACCCAUGAACUGCUCUCAAAACUGUAUCCCUUGAGUAUCGGAGAGGCAAGCGGAAUUCCUAGUGUAGCGGUGAAAUGCGUAGAUAUUAGGAGGAACACCAGUGGCGAAGGCGGCUUGCUGGACGACAACUGACGCUGAGGCGCGAAAGCGUGGGGAGCAAACAGGAUUAGAUACCCUGGUAGUCCACGCUGUAAACGAUGAAUACUAGGUGUGGGAGGACUGACCCCUUCCGUGCCGCAGUUAACACAAUAAGUAUUCCACCUGGGGAGUACGACCGCAAGGUUGAAACUCAAAGGAAUUGACGGGGGCCCGCACAAGCAGUGGAUUAUGUGGUUUAAUUCGACGCAACGCGAAGAACCUUACCAGGAUUUGACAUCCAACUAACGAAGUAGAGAUACAUCAGGUACCCUUCGGGGGAAGUUGAGACAGGUGGUGCAUGGUUGUCGUCAGCUCGCGUCGUGAGAUGUUGGGUUAAGUCCCGCAACGAGCGCAACCCCUAUUGUUAGUUGCUACGAAAGAGCACUCUAGCGAGACUGCCGUUGACAAAACGGAGGAAGGCGGGGACGACGUCAAAUCAUCAUGCCCCUUAUGAUUUGGGCUACACACGUGCUACAAUGGCAGUUACAAAGAGAAGCAACCCCGUGAGGGUGAGCAAACCUCAAAAAGGCUGUCUCAGUUCGGAUUGUAGUCUGCAACUCGACUACAUGAAGCUGGAAUCGCUAGUAAUCGCAGAUCAGAAUGCUGCGGUGAAUACGUUCCCG
rnacentral:rRNA from 1 species